rnacentral:rRNA from 1 species
GUAGGUGGCAAGCGUUGUCCGGAAUUAUUGGGCGUAAAGCGCGCGCAGGUGGUUCUUUAAGUCUGAUGUGAAAGCCCCCGGCUCAACCGGGGAGGGUCAUUGGAAACUGGGGAACUUGAGUGCAGGAGAGGAAAGUGGAAUUCCACGUGUAGCGGUGAAAUGCGUAGAUACGUGGAGGAACACCAGUGGCGAAGGCGACUUUCUGGCCUGUAACUGACACUGAGGCGCGAAAGCGUGGGGAGCAAACAGGAUUAGAUACCCUGGUAGUCCACGCCGUAAACGAUGAGUGCUAAGUGUUGGGGGGUUUCCGCCCCUCAGUGCUGCAGCUAACGCAUUAAGCACUCCGCCUGGGGAGUACGGUCGCAAGACUA